rnacentral:rRNA from 1 species
AUUGAACGCUGGCGGCAGGCUUAACACAUGCAAGUCGAACGAUGAUUAUCUAGCUUGCUAGAUAUGAUUAGUGGCGGACGGGUGAGUAACAUUUAGGAAUCUGCCUAGUAGUGGGGGAUAGCUCGGGGAAACUCGAAUUAAUACCGCAUACGACCAACGGGUGAAAGGGGGCGCAAGCUCUUGCUAUUAGAUGAGCCUAAAUCAGAUUAGCUAGUUGGUGGGGUAAAGGCCCACCAAGGCGACGAUCUGUAACUGGUCUGAGAGGAUGAUCAGUCACACCGGAACUGAGACACGGUCCGGACUCCUACGGGAGGCAGCAGUGGGGAAUAUUGGACAAUGGGGGCAACCCUGAUCCAGCCAUGCCGCGUGUGUGAAGAAGGCCUUUUGGUUGUAAAGCACUUUAAGCAGGGAGGAGAGGCUAAUGGUUAAUACCCAUUAGAUUAGACGUUACCUGCAGAAUAAGCACCGGCUAACUCUGUGCCAGCAGCCGCGGUAAUACAGAGGGUGCGAGCGUUAAUCGGAAUUACUGGGCGUAAAGCGAGUGUAGGUGGCUCAUUAAGUCACAUGUGAAAUCCCCGGGCUUAACCUGGGAACUGCAUGUGAUACUGGUGGUGCUAGAAUAUGUGAGAGGGAAGUAGAAUUCCAGGUGUAGCGGUGAAAUGCGUAGAGAUCUGGAGGAAUACCGAUGGCGAAGGCAGCUUCCUGGCAUAAUAUUGACACUGAGAUUCGAAAGCGUGGGUAGCAAACAGGAUUAGAUACCCUGGUAGUCCACGCCGUAAACGAUGUCUACUAGCCGUUGGGGUCCUUGAGACUUUAGUGGCGCAGUUAACGCGAUAAGUAGACCGCCUGGGGAGUACGGCCGCAAGGUUAAAACUCAAAUGAAUUGACGGGGGCCCGCACAAGCGGUGGAGCAUGUGGUUUAAUUCGAUGCAACGCGAAGAACCUUACCUGGUCUUGACAUAGUGAGAAUCCUGCAGAGAUGCGGGAGUGCCUUCGGGAAUUCACAUACAGGUGCUGCAUGGCUGUCGUCAGCUCGUGUCGUGAGAUGUUGGGUUAAGUCCCGCAACGAGCGCAACCCUUUUCCUUAUUUGCCAGCGGGUUAAGCCGGGAACUUUAAGGAUACUGCCAGUGACAAACUGGAGGAAGGCGGGGACGACGUCAAGUCAUCAUGGCCCUUACGACCAGGGCUACACACGUGCUACAAUGGUAGGUACAGAGGGUUGCUACACAGCGAUGUGAUGCUAAUCUCAAAAAGCCUAUCGUAGUCCGGAUUGGAGUCUGCAACUCGACUCCAUGAAGUCGGAAUCGCUAGUAAUCGCAGAUCAGAAUGCUGCGGUGAAUACGUUCCCGGGCCU